rnacentral:rRNA from 1 species
UGGGGAAUAUUGCACAAUGGGGGAAACCCUGAUGCAGCGAUGCCGCGUGAAGGACGAAGAUUUUCGGAUCGUAAACUUCUAUCAGCAAGGAAAAAGAAGGAUAGUACUUGACUAAGCAGCCCCGGCUAACUACGUGCCAGCAGCCGCGGUAAUACGUAGGGGGCAAGCGUUAUCCGGAAUUACUGGGUGUAAAGGGUGCGUAGGCGGCCCGGCAAGUCAGUUGUGAAACCCGAUAGCUCAACUAUCGGCUUGCAAUUGAAACUGUCAGGCUAGAGUACAGGAGAGGAAAGCGGAAUUCCUAGUGUAGCGGUGAAAUGCGUAGAUAUUAGGAAGAACACCAGUGGCGAAGGCGGCUUUCUGGACUGAAAACUGACGCUGAGGCACGAAAAGCGUGGGGAGCAAACAGGAUUAGAUACCC